AUUCAGCUGACAAGUCAUAAAUCGGACGAAACGUGCGUCCUGGAU
rnacentral:hammerhead_ribozyme from 1 species